ACGAACGCUGGCGGCGUGCCUCAUACAUGCAAGUCGCGCGGACUUAAAAAGCUUGCUUUUUAAGUUAGCGGCGGACGGGUGAGUAACACGUGGGCAACCUGCCUGUAAGACUGGGAUAACUUCGGGAAACCGGAGCUAAUACCGGAUAAUCCUUUUCUACUCAUGUAGAAAAGCUGAAAGACGGUUUACGCUGUCACUUACAGAUGGGCCCGCGGCGCAUUAGCUAGUUGGUGAGGUAACGGCUCACCAAGGCGACGAUGCGUAGCCGACCUGAGAGGGUGAUCGGCCACACUGGGACUGAGACACGGCCCAGACUCCUACGGGAGGCAGCAGUAGGGAAUCUUCCGCAAUGGACGAAAGUCUGACGGAGCAACGCCGCGUGAGUGAUGAAGGUUUUCGGAUCGUAAAACUCUGUUGUUAGGGAAGAACAAGUACGAGAGUAACUGCUCGUACCUUGACGGUACCUAACCAGAAAGCCACGGCUAACUACGUG
rnacentral:rRNA from 1 species